GCCCGGAAGGAAAGCUGCUGCUGGCCGCCGCUGGCACGCUGUGUGGGAGCAGUGUCUGGGCGCAAAACGCGCAUGAGGGAGGCAGGUGGUGCAACACUCAGUGAAAAAUAACCCUGCACACCUGAGCAUUUGGGAAUUGUCUGUUCAAAACAGCUCUGAAGAAAAGGGCACAAGUGUCCAAGCAGGCAGUAAAAUCUAUGUGAGCCAGCAGUGCCCUGGCAGAAAAGAAAACCAAGUCCAGAGAAGUGAUCCUUCAAGUCAACAACUGAGCAGAGCAGGCCUGUGUCCAGGUUUGGACUCCUUGAGCCACAGUGCAACUUUGUGGGUCUCCACACAUAACCAAGAACUCUACUCUUCAUUUCUCCCUCAAAGGGUAAAGACAUGAGAAGACUUAAUUGAAGCAGAAUGCGUAGUAGAGGUGGGCAGUUUAGAUAUCUCUCAGCUCUUCUUAAGUUGAACUGAACUAGACCUUUUGAACUCACCCUGUGAUUGUGCAUGAAGUGAUACAACUACCUCCUAGUUCCAAAGACAUCUCCUGUUAGUGAUUUCCCCAUCCUUUCCAAGGUGUCCUGCUAGAACAAUGACCACACAAAGCUAUUCUUCUUCUGGACAGAGGAAGAAUGACAGCUAAACAGCUGCAGAACUGGAUGUGGCCCAUGACACAGAUGGGCUGCAGAGCAGCACAUUUCUUCCUGAAUCUACCACUAGUGCACUGUACCAGGUCAUACAAAUGGACAGACGGGAGGAAAGGCUCCAGCUUCUCUGGCCUAGUGACAAUGCUGGGAAGAGACGGUUCUCAGUGCUGCAUCAAUCAAAGCAGGAAAGACUAUAUAGCUGCAGAGGAUCUUCUUACCAAGUUUGUUCAGUUUGGACUGGAAAAUAGAUGGUUUGGGCAAUACUAGGUCAAAGCUGAGAAGGUGGUUCAGUGGUCUCCUGCUGUCACAAAUUCAGAAUGGAAAGAGGAGUGAGAUGUAGGUGCUGUACUGAUUCUCCUGACUGUUGCCAAUACUAUCAACCUCUGCUGCCAAAAUGGAAAAUGAAGGUGAAGAAAUAAGUGCUAUGGACCUGAGGCAGCACUGCUCAUCCCAGGGUCUGUUCUGAGCUGAGCAGGCACUGAGCAGCCGGUCAGGUGAGCUGAGAGGCACUGGUCUGAGGAGUUCCUGUAGUCCCAGGGAUACACAGACAGAUGUGAAAGAGCAUCUCUAUCUCUAGCAUAGGGCUUCAAAUGCUAGAGAGAGGCAGGUAACCUACACAGCACAUACAUAUGAACACAGGGAUGGGCCACUCCAUAGACUGGGCAAAAUGACAUGGCAUAGCCCUGCCAAGACAUGGUAUUUCCUGAGAUCGGAGGCAAGAAAACGAUCAUUCCUAACAAGAGCAAAAACAAGAAAAAAAAGAAAGUGAGAAUGGAAAGAAAAAACAGGACAAGGUGAGGUGGUCAUGUAAAGAAGGUCCAAGCCAAUGUAAGCAAACCAAAGCAUGAAGAAAAGGACCAGGUACACUCACCUUUAUGCAAAAAACAAGGAAAAAUGGUCGAUGCUGCCACAUGUUGGAGGGUAGGAGAAUAAAUUAACACAUUAAUAAAGGGCAAAACAAACAGUAGCUAAUUAUGGUGUAAUUCAAGCCUCUCUUCUAGUAGUUAGCAACUGCAGCAGCAAGUAAGUUUCUGCUCUUCCUCUGUUAGGAGAGAGAAAUACUGCCAAAAUGCACUCAGGUAGUGAAGGGUCUCCAAUGCAUUUCCUGCAGACUAGCACUCUCUAUCCAUGUAAAAACACCUCCCACAUCAGUGCUACCAAAGACACAUUGAGUUGCUCCUGAGGGAAUGAGAUGUCACUUUGGCCUCUGGCCAUUCAGUUAUCCACUUCCCUGCUCUCCUAUGUGAACCAGGGGAUAGUAAUAGGGACUGAGGAGAGAAUAUACUCGUUCCUUCCCCAACUUUGAGCCUGUGCAGCAACACUCAACUCUGCACACGAUGCAUAAACACAGCAGGCUGGUGGUUGUCUCAAGUCUACCUUCUGCUGGGCAGAGUUCAUUUCUAUCUGAAGUACAAGAGCAGAGAGACUAUGGAAAUGUCACCAAAUUACAGCAAGGUAUUCACACCGGGAAAAAAAAGACAUGCUAGCCAGCAAGUGUUUUCAAGGCAUGUUAACAAAUCCAGUUUAUCUCACAUGCCAGCUCUCCCCCACCUCAUUCCCAUUCCCACUGAAUAGAUACUAAUUGAAAAUUAUGUUUUCAUGUGAAGGCUUUUUGUAAUUUGGUCUUGUUCAAAAGCAUUUAGGGAUCUUAUUGUUUGUUGUAUUUCAAAGUGAUUUGCAUGAACUCCCCAGGGAAGCCAACAAAGGGCACUACCAACAUUUUGCUGGCAGACAGCAAGGGUUUCUACUCAGCACAGAAUAUUCAUGUGCUCCAAGAAACACAGAUUCUUGAGGUAGAGGAAUCAGCUGAAGAGCUCCAGUGCAAAAUAUCUAGGAAACUGUUGUAAUAUCUAUUCCCGUUCAGCAUUUUUAGCAACCAUGGUAAACACAGAGCUCAACUGAAAAUAUAAAUAUUUUUAAAAUAUUUUUCAUGGGAAAGGUAGAAUUGCCUAUGCAAUAUAAACAUGCUUUAAAAGAUGCUUUCCAGGCUUUAAGUCUCAUGUAUGCAUCACACUGCACAAUCUAAAAUCUCUUCAUUGAAUUCUAUAGACUCCCACACAUUUAUGACAAAUGAGCAUACAAAGUGUAAAACAUUUUGUAUUUACCCAACAAAAUAUGUAAUCAUGCAUUCAGGCAUGCACUACACACACACCUAUAUAUUUGAACAUGCAUGAUGCCAGACAUUGUGCAUAUGCACAUAUUUGUGCAUAUGAGUGUCUUUGCAGCUCACACAAAGCACAGGAACAGCCUGCACCUUACAACACACCUGCAGGACCUGCACCUUACAACACAACCUUGCAGGACCUGCACACAGCCAGACAUGCCAGUAAAGUUCAGAUUACUUAUAUCUCUGUUCAUUAACAAAACCUGUGUUUAUAGGUUUUGUUAAUGAACAGACAUAUAAGUAAUCUGAAUAAUUUGUAAAUAUGCAAUACACGUCUGUACAUUCAUUUAUUUAAUGAAGUAUGGUAUUGAGGAGAAAAAAAAAACAUUAAGGCAUACAAUAAAGUCUUCAAAAGAAACUUUGUUAUACAGAAAGCCCAGUUCCUAUUAUUAUGAGUUUUCAGAUUGGUAUAAGACCUGGUCUGCAUGCGAAAGCUUAGUUGGCACAGGUAGGUUAAGAACAUAAAAAACAACCCCAUUAAUUGACAUCCCCAUGACAACAGAAGUCUUAGAGCUAUGCCAGAAAAAAACCUCUUUGGCAGUCUAAUUUCUUUAGUUCAAGAAGCGGGAGAAGGAAAAAGAAUAUUUUGCUUCUUUUUUCACAGUAAUUAGAGUUUCAACUUGCCAUCAAUUUCUUUCCAUUAUAACAAAGGCCUGCAUCUACUUAGGAUGAUUUUUCACAUUAGAGUGGCUCAAAGUGCUGGAGGAAUACUAUUUCAUUCUAAUUUAGCCAAGUUCCAAGUUGCAAAAAAUCAUUCGGUUUAGAGAUCCUAUUUCAACUAUGACUUGGACAACAGCAAGUACUGCAGGCUGUGGUUUCCACAGCCAUGUUUACACAGCUUGCUACAGCCCACAGUGUGUCAUCCAGGUGGCACAGACCAUUAUUAAGUGCUACUUGAGCAUAUAUUCCAAGUGUUCCAGGUAUUUCAUCCACACUGCUGGGAUUUUUCUGAAGUAUGUCUGGAUAACAUCGCCAGAAUCAACUAAAAACAAAUCUCAGUUCUCAAAAUUCUUCUGUCUCUUUUGUCACCAUCUAGCUCCUUCUGUGUAGCCACUGUCAUUUUCAUACUCUUAUCAGCCAGCACAGAUGUAAAAGUGCUCCAUGCCAUUGCAAAUGCCACUGCAAAUACACAGAAGCUGUGGGAAAGUUUUCACAGCUUGCUGCCAUGUGGCUUUAGCACUUCCAAUCUGUCACUGUGCUGCAGAGCAGCUCUCACGUGUUUUCAGAAGCAGUGGCAGCAGCUGUCUCACCAGCAGCAGUCUCAGGAGCAGUGGAAGGUACAGGAUGUCAAGCUGCUCAUUGUGGGAGCUGGGUCAGCAUCCAUGGCUGAAUUCAUCAAGCCAGAGGCAAGUGGUGGGGAAUUUCAUAGAGCCAUAGAAUGGGUUGGGUAACCUUGAAAAUCAUCCAGUUCCAAUCCCCCUGCUAUGGGCAGGGACACAUUUAAGCAGACCACAUUGCACAAAGCCCCAUCCAACCUGGCCUUGAACACCUCCAGGGAUGGGGGAUCAACAUCCCUGAGCAGCCUGCUCCAGUACCUGACCACCCUCACAGUCAAGGAUUUUUUCCUAAUAUCUAAUCAAAACUUAUAUCUUUCGAUUUGAACUCUGUUCACCUUUGUGUUGUCACUACACACUCUUGUAAACUCUUGCCCCAUCUUUCCUGUAAGUUCCCUUCAAGUACUCUAAGGCUGCAGUUAUCUCACCCCAAAGCUUUUCUUUUCCAUGCUGAACAAUCACAGCUCUCUCAGUCUUCCCUUACAAGAAACAAAAUUCUGACCAACUUGGUAACUCUCCUCUGGACUCACUCCAAUAAGACAAUAUCCUUCCUGUGUUGAGGACCCCAGAGUUCCAGGUAAGGUCUCACCAGAGCAGAGCAGAGCAGAGCAGAGCAGAGCAGAGCAGCAGAAUCCCUUCCCUGGCUCUGCUGGCCACGGUGCUUUGGAUGCAGCCCAGCACACGUUUGGCUUUCUGGGCUGCAAGUGCACAUGGGUGGGUCAUGUCCAUCUUCCUAUCCCCAGCACCCCCAAGGCCUUCUCAGCAGGGCUGCUCUCGAUCUGUCCAUCCCCCAGCCUGUAUUGAUACUGUGCAUUGCCCCAGACUAGGUGCAGCACCUUGCACUUGGUCUUAUUAAACCUCAUUAUAUUCCCCUGAGCCCACAUCUCAAGUGGGCUCAGGGGAAUCUCAAGUUUGUCCAGCUCCCUUUGGAUGGCAUCCUGCCCUUCAUGCGUAUCAGCUGCACCACUUGGCUUGAUGUCAUCUGCUGAGGGUGCUCUUGAUCCCAUCUUCUGUGUCAUUAAUGAAGAUAAUAAGUAACACUCAGCCUAGUACAGACCCCUGAGGGUCUCUGGAUGAUUGCCUCUGGAGGCAAUCAUCCAAGCAACUCCCAAUCCAUCUAACAGUCCACCCACCAAAUCCAUCACUCUCCAGUUUGAAGAGAAGGAUGUUGUGGGGAACCGUGAAAAUGCAAAAGCUUGGAGGCAAAAUUCAGAGAUAAACUUGUUCUGAGCGAGCCCAGAAGCAACAGACUCACAUUGAAAUGUCCCAAGAGGUAGGAAUCAUGGCAUGGCAAAUCAGUGGUGAUCAUCAUAGCAAAGAGGCACAAUGCAUCCAAACUUCAGCCUGUAGAAAAGUAACAUCACAAUCAUUUUAUGUCUUUUCAAUGAAGGAUGGAGUACCUGUUAUCUGUCCUAUUAAUUUGUCCUAGCCAACAUUGUACACAUUGUGGAACUUUUCAACAAAAGUAGCAUAAACUCAGUAUAAACCAGUCAGCUGUCCCUCUUUCACAGAUGCUCUUCGAGCUAAAAAAUUCGUGGAUGCUAUGUUGCUUUUAAGUCUUCUUGCCAAAUACCAUAUUUCACAGUCCCAUUUUCUAACUCUUCAAGAUGUUUUGUCUCUAAUAUUGCUGUAUGAACGUUCCACACAAACAAGACAAUCAAAGACUCUGAAGAGGGCUGAGUUUUCAAUCUUUAGCCAGCCUUGCCCGUGGGGAAAGUACAUGCAGCAUUUUGGUCUGCAAACGAGAGCGCUGAUUGAGCGCAGUUAAUGGGGGGGCUGUGGGAGCUUCUGGAUUGUAGAAGAGAGGAGUAUUACAAACACAUUCAUAAAGCAUUUAAAAGGAUGUUCUACAUUUCCUACACACUGUGGCAGGGUAAACAGUGAGGGGUACAAGCACACUGUGUACAAAGGCAGCAACCUGGAAAAAAAAAAAUACAGAGAGAAAGAAAAAGCCGGCUCUAUUUCUCUAAUCCCCUUUUU